rnacentral:rRNA from 1 species
CCUACGGGAGGCAGCAGUGGGGAAUAUUGGACAAUGGGCGCAAGCCUGAUCCAGCCAUGCCGCGUGAGUGAUGAAGGCCCUAGGGUUGUAAAGCUCUUUCAGCGGGGAAGAUAAUGACGGUACCCGCAGAAGAAGCCCCGGCUAACUUCGUGCCAGCAGCCGCGGUAAUACGAAGGGGGCUAGCGUUGUUCGGAAUCACUGGGCGUAAAGCGCGCGUAGGCGGAUUGUUAAGUCGGGGGUGAAAUCCUGAGGCUCAACCUCAGAACUGCCUUCGAUACUGGCAAUCUUGGAGUCCGGGAGAGGUGAGUGGAACUCCUAGUGUAGAGGUGAAAUUCGUAGAUAUUAGGAAGAACACCAGUGGCGAAGGCGGCUCACUGGCCCGGUACUGACGCUGAUGCGCGAAAGCGUGGGGAGCAAACAGGAUUAGAUACCCGAGUAGU